GGGAUCCCGUACACUCUCAAACUUUGAUCUCUACUGUGAAUCUCAUUAGACUUAGACGCCUUAGACGUAAACACUUAUAGAUAUUUUAUAAGAUGUUACACGAUGGGCUCAAGGGACAAUUACCACACUGCACGUCAUGCUGGAAUAGGGAACUUAACAUCAAUCUCACUCCUAGAGAAUGGGACAUUAUAUUUCAAGGCAUACACAAAUCAUCGGUGAGCAAUUCUAUACAGGAGAGUAACUAUAAGAGAAUAUCCAGAAGGCACUACUCACCAACUAACCUACAAAAUCUCUUUCCACACACGACAGAUACAUGCUGGAGAUGUGGUCAACCAGGGAGAAUGACCACUUACGUUUGGUGGACUUGUCCCAUCAUACAAACUUACUGACGGAGAGUGAAAUGAUCCUGGCACACACCCCUAAAAAUAUGCUGUUCCUAUUAUACUCCAAUCCUACUCCUAAACCACAACAUGGUAUUAAUGACCCACUUGUUGACAGCUACCAACCUCCUCAUUCCAGUUAAAUGGAAAAGUACUCACGCCCCUUCCCUACGAGUGGCUACAAAAGGUAGAAUCACUCAGGGUGAUGGAGGAAAUAAUGGCUUCUCUAACUAGUAAAUAUCUAACAUACUCCUCUACUUGGGAGCCUUGGUAAAAUACUUAAACACUAACCCUUCUUUUUUUAGAUAAAUACCGAAAUGCUUAAACACCCUACGUGACUGGCAACACUUCAUGCUCAGGUGAAGUCUACUGGGAAGGAGGACGCUAGUCAAUAACUAGAAGUUUACAUAUGCAUGGAGAGACAGAAUGUGAAAUCUUACAAGAGCCUCUAUCAUAAUGUAACUUUUGUUUUUUGUCUUCCCACGCUUGAAAUUAUUUAAGGUUCCAGACACCCGGAAAAUUCACAAUACAUAUUAUUGGCCACGGGGUGCUGCAUUCUGUCUGCUUUUUCCUUCAGCGAAGCAACUCAAAGACCCUAGUUAGGGUGGUUGGACUAAUAUGUCCAUGGUUCUCAUGUUUGCAAAACAACAAAAUUGUCAUGCGAUUUUUGUGCUUUUCUGAUAUAUCCUACACUACACAAGCAUAUCAUACUUAUGUUAAACCUUAGUGACAUGUAAUAUGUCCGGUGGGGGCCACGGACUGGAACACUACCGAAUGGAUAAUCAUAACCUAUCACCACCUGGCC